CUGCUCUGCUCAGGCACUCAUACACUCAGCCCUUCAACCAAGAUUUACCAAGCACCUACUGAGUCGUAGAGGUGCACAUCAGGCAGAGAGCUGGUUGCAGGAGGCCCAAGUGGACUUGACUUCUCUGGACUCACACUGCAAUGGGGUAUGUUAACCUUCAAUAGGUAGUGGCAUUGCUGUGUGAAAGGAUGGAAGCCAUAAGACUGCUACCAAGAAGGGGGGCAGCAUAAAAAAAGGCAGAAAUCUGGAAGUGAAACGUGGGCCCCUGAGAGUAUGUGCUGCCGGCUACAAACCAGAGUCAAAUUGAGGAAUGAAUCCUACCUUCAGCUUAUUUGUAGUCCAGGGAUGAUUGACAGACUGUGUACCCAACCCCAACCACUUCUAGAGCUCAGUGUG